rnacentral:sRNA from 1 species
UAGCCAGCCUAUGGGCGCAAUUUACAUCCAAAUUGCAAAUGAGUUUACAGCUUUGCGGUUGCCAAACCAGCUUCAUAAUUGACUUUGACUGUGGCCAAGACACUGAGCCCGUAACUAAUGAAUCCUCUCCUCUUCGCUACCUCACACAUUCGCUCUACGUGGCAGAUAGAUCGAAGAAUCCCUGAUUGCUCUGAAUCAGAAUUAAAUAGUGCAAGGAGGCGGAGCGCCAUCACGUAGCUUGAAUCAUUGCGAUGGGUGGUUUCCAAGUCCAGUGAAUCACUAUUAAUCAACACCCACGGAAUGAGUUAACGACUCACAGAUUGAGUUGGAAUCCCUAAUCUAUCAGCGCAAUUGCUAAAUUACCUGUCUGGAUGGCAGGUAAACUCAUUAGGCGCUUAUCUGAUUGUUCAACCAAGGCAUUGCCCUUACUGAUCUUGGGUAACCAAUACUAAUACUAAUAACCCAGACUACCUCUCUUGUUGACACUACUACUACUUAUACUUCAGAUUAAUGCACUUUACAUACACACUUUAACUAAACUAUAGAUUUUUGAUUGUUCAAUAAAGGUGUGCUUCUAUCACAACUUGAUAGAAA